UCAACCUCACCGGUGGGACAAAAAGUUCAAGAAGAUGUGUUGUCCAUUAGUUUUUGGAACUCCGUAGAGACUUGCAUGAAAGUUUCUCUACCUCUUCUAAGGGUGCUAAGGAUUGUUGAUGGCGAUGAGAAGCCGGCGAUGCCCGAGGUUAUGGCAGCAAUGGAUUAUGCAAAGGAGAGAAUCAAGGCUGCGAUAGAUGACAAACCAACGUUGGUUAAGAAGGUGAUAAAAAUAGUAGAGGACAAGUGGGAAUCUCAAAUGGGGGUGAAGUUGUAUGGAGCUGCACUAUUCUUAAACCCAAAUAGGAUCUAUGGUCUCAAAGCUAAGCCCGAGAAAGCACGAUAUUGUCAAAGGCUUAGGCAUAUGUUCAAUGAGGUGCUAUUGCAC
rnacentral:rRNA from 1 species